rnacentral:tRNA from 1 species
GGGGGGCUGGCGCAACGGUAGCGCGUUAGAUUCCAGUGGGGUAUCCUAAAGGUUAUCGGUUCAAAUCCGGUGUCCCUCA